rnacentral:rRNA from 1 species
AACGAACGCUGGCGGCGUGUUUAAGACAUGCAAGUCGCACGGAGUCGUUUGUGUAGCAAUACUCGGACGGCUCAGUGGCGCACGGGUGAGUAACACGUGAAUGACAUGCCCCGCAGAGGGGGAUAGCCCAGGGAAACUUGGAUUAAUACCCCAUGGCAUCGCAGGAUUAAAGGGUGGCCGCAAGGCUGCCGCUGCGGGAUUGGUUCGCGUUCUAUCGGCUUGUUGGCGGGGUAACGGCCCACCAAGGCUACGACGGAUACCUGGUCUGAGAGGACGAUCAGGCACACUGGAACUGAGACACGGUCCAGACACCUACGGGUGGCAGCGGUCGAGAAUAAUUCACAAUGGGGGCAACCCUGAUGGUGCAACGCCGCGUGGAGGAUGAAGGUCUUCGGAUUGUAAACUCCUGUCAUCCGGGAGCAAGACCUGACGGUGAAAAGCCGGCAGGGUUGAUAGUACCGGAAGAGGAAGGGACGGCUAACUUCGUGCCAGCAGCCGCGGUAAAAC